GACGAAGGAUGCAAGCGUUAUCCGGAUUCAUUGGGUUUAAAGGGUGCGUAGGCGGCCCGGUAAGUCAGUGGUGAAAGCCUGUUGCUUAACAACAGAACUGCCAUUGAUACUGCUGGGCUUGAGUACAGAUGCUGUGGGCGGAAUAUGACAUGUAGUGGUGAAAUACAUAGAGAUGUCAUAGAACACCGAUUGCGAAGGCAGCUCACAAAACUGUAACUGACGCUGAGGCACGAAAGAUGCGGGGGAUCAAACAGG
rnacentral:rRNA from 1 species